GACGAACGCUGGCGGCGUGCUUAACACAUGCAAGUCGAACGGAAAGGCCCUGCUUUUGUGGGGUGCUCGAGUGGCGAACGGGUGAGUAACACGUGAGUAACCUGCCCUUGACUUUGGGAUAACUUCAGGAAACUGGGGCUAAUACCGGAUAGGAGCUCCUGCUGCAUGGUGGGGGUUGGAAAGUUUCGGCGGUUGGGGAUGGACUCGCGGCUUAUCAGCUUGUUGGUGGGGUAGUGGCUUACCAAGGCUUUGACGGGUAGCCGGCCUGAGAGGGUGACCGGCCACAUUGGGACUGAGGUACGGCCCAGACUCCUACGGGAGGCAGCAGGGGGGAAUAUUGCACAAUGGGCGGAAGCCUGAUGCAGCAACGCCGCGUGCGGGAUGACGGCCUUCGGGUUGUAAACCGCUUUCGCCUGUGACGAAGCGUGAGUGACGGUAAUGGGUAAAGAAGCACUGGCUAACUACGUG
rnacentral:rRNA from 1 species